CACAGAUGGCAGUCAUGUACUGAAAAUAUAUAUCCAUCAGAAAAGCAAAAGCAAUAAAAAACAAAAUUUCCACUAUAUGAUGUAUUUUAGUUCUGAUGAAGAAGUAAUAAAGUACUGAAUAAUGCUUAUCUAGUCUAUGAUUUACUUGGUCUAAUUUUGUGUGAUUUUGUCUGUACCCUGUGAUAUCUGCCUGAUGCCUGUGUGCUGAGCCAUGCUUGGUCUGAUCUUUUUAGAAGAUAUUGUUUAGAUAGGAUAGAGCUAGUCAUGUGGUAUUACUGCACCACCCAAUGUGAGAGGAGAGGGAGAGAGAGAGAGAGAGACAUGCUAUGUCUUGACAGCCAUGCUCAUCCUUUUCUGCUGUGUGAGAGCCUGAAUCUAGUUUGUUGCAUCUCACAGCAGCAGCUUAGAAGUGAAUAAAGUAACUUACGACCUCUGCACCUCCUAGGCAGUUUUCAAGUUCUUCUUACAAUAGGGAGUUUCUUCCUUGCUUUUUCAGACUUCUUGACAAGAUGGUUUUAAAUCCCUGGCUGUUCAUUCUGUGUAAUACUGCAGCCAUUUUCAGCUUCUCUGGGACAUCGCCAUCAAGUGAGAACCAUCAAUCAGAUAGCUGCUAUGACUGGGGAGUAUAUGAUGCCAAGUCUCUGCAGAUUUAUGAUGGAGAAUUGGGGAAGCUGACUUGCCCUCUUUUCUCUGAGGCCAGAUAUAACUAUAGUACCUCGCUGGCUUCUGGGCUCAGUCUCCUCUGGUACUGGAUCAGGCAGGGCCAAGACUUGGAGGAACCCAUUGAUUUCCGACUUCCAGACAACAGAAUCCUAAAGGAGCGGGAUGUUGUGUGGUUCCAGCCUUCAACUGUAAAUGACAGUGGGCUCUACAUCUGCAUGCUGAGAAAUAGCACAUUUUGCCAGCGAGUGGCUGUCCCUCUCAGCGUACUCCAGAAAGACCCCAGUUCCUGCGUCAGCUCAAAGAUGAAGCAUAACAAAAUGAUGAUUCCACUAGAGACCAAGGGGGAUUUGCACUGUCCAGAUAUUGAAGGAUAUUAUCCCCCAUCACUGCAACCAUCUAUACGCUGGUACAAGGACUGCCAGCCCCUGAAAGACAAGUCUUUUGAAAAGGAAGUAAUAGGUGACAGAAUUGUUAUCUACAUUAUGAGAAAGGACUAUGCAGGAAACUACACAUGCAUUGUUAAUUACACACUACACAACAGGUCACAUGUUUUGACUAGGACCACAACAGUUCGAGUAGUUGGAAUGCCCAGUAAAAGGAAACCUGUGAUUCAUCAUCCAAAUAAGGACCAAGAAGUGGUCAAAGUCAGUCUAGGUGAUACAGCUGAACUGUUAUGCCACGUCUAUUUUCCCUUCUUGAUGAAUUCACCAACUGAAGCCUGGUGGACUGUUGAUGGAAAGAAGCUGGAACCAUUCACAACUGAAAGAUACCAGCUUAGUUCAAGCUUUGAGUCAACAGAACUGGAUGACCGGACAAUCAAAAUUUUGUUAAAAAUUAUGCAUUUCACAGAAGAAGACUUAAAGCACAACUAUGUUUGUUUUUCUAAAAAUAAUGAGGGAGAAGUUAGCAGCCAGGCAUUUUUGAAGCUGAGAGUUACAUAUACAAUGGAACUGGCAUGUGGGCUGGGAAUCACUCUAUUUAUCGUGGUGUCUCUCGUCAUUGUGUACCAUGUAUACUGGUUAGAAUUGGUCCUGCUUUACCGGGCCAACUUUGGAACAGAUGAAGCCAACACAGAUGGAAAAGAGUAUGAUGUAUAUAUUUCUUAUGCACGGAAUGCAGAAGAGGAAGAGUUUGUCCUGCUCACACUACGCGCUGUCCUAGAGAAUGAAUUUGGCUAUAAAGUGUGCAUUUUUGACCGCGACAGCCUUCCUGGAGGAAAUGUCAGUGAUGCUGCUUUGAGUUUCAUUGUAAGGAGUCGGAGAGUGCUAGUUGUGCUGAGUCCAGACUACCUAACAGAAAAGAGCAUCAGUGUAUUGGAGUUCAGACUGGGUUUGCUGUGUCAGGAAAUGGGAAGCACCAAAGUCAUUGCCAUCAAGUUCAAGCCAGUGGCACUUCCCACCUUUGAAAAAUGGCAGCUGAGGGAAACAACCUUCCUAAAAUGGAAAGGGAAGAAAUCAAGAUGUCUACAUUCAGAAUUUUGGAAAAGGUUGAGAUUCGCUCUCCCACUGAGGGGUUUGUCAGCGGGUCCCCGUCUAAUAGACAGUUGUUCCUCCCAUUCAGACCUGAAUGCAAAUGCUCUCUCAGCAAAGAGAGACCUACCAAGACAAAAGACAGAUGGUGUCAUAGGACCAUACACUAACUUGAGGAGACAUGAAAGAAUUGCACCUCCUUGUCCAAAGUGUGUAAGGUGCCUACAGAAUGGGGCAACCUGGCGGUGGAAGACUGAGAGCAUUCAGGGAAGUCAUAAUGCAGUUCAGCCCAUACUGUCCACAUGUAGCAAUCCCAGUAAACACAAAAACCUACAUCUCUCUAUAGAGUAGGGCUGACCUGAGAAACAGUAAGUAAGUAGGUGAAUGUAGUGUACUAGAAGGCUCUGUGGGGUUUCAUUUUCUCUUCAGCAAUUGCCAAUGCAUGAUAGAUACAUUUGGUUAUGCAUGCAGUGCAUAAUUUUUUAUUUUGAGAUUGAAUGCAGUACAGAGUAUUGCAAAUUACUGUAAAAGCUGCAGAACUAAGUAUAAAUGAUAAACAGGUCCAGUGCAAAAGUAAUGAAAUCUGGAAAACAUCAACUGAUUAAAAUAUAAAGACUGACUUCUCUUGAAAAUAUUUGCCAGAAACUAAAUAUUUUUGCAGGUUUCCAUCAGCAGUGUCCCACAGAAUGUGUCCACUAGAUGUCACUGUGUAGUAACCAACAAUAGAUCUUGAUACAGCAUUCACAAAGUCCUUUAAUCCAAUUCAGGGCCAGAGCCUAAAAGUGGCAAAGGGUACAAGACAGGAAACAGGACUAGACAGGGCACUACUUCAGCACAGGGCCAAGUGACACACAUACACAGCCACAUCCAAACAUGGCCAACUUAGAACAGUCAAAACAUAUAACCUGGAUGUCUUUAGAGAUGUGGGAGAAAAACUGGAGCACACAGACAAAAGGCCAGAGAGACAUGGGGACAAUCUGCUAACAACACACAAACAAUAUUUGGAUAUGAGAAUCCAACCUGUUCUACUGGAUCUGUAAUGUGAGAGUGCUAACCACCAUCUCUUUUGUGAGCGUAUGAGAAAAUGUCCACAUCCUACCAAGAAACAAUAGAUUUGAUUGUGUGUUUUUGAAUUUUGUGUUUGUAAAUAUUUUAAAAAGUGCAGAGUUAUAAUAAUGAACUAUUUAAUAAACACAAGAUGGCAGACAAGCCUCACACACCAAAAGUUCCAUUAUUCU